AUCGCCGUGAAUCACAUGAGAGUUGCAAAUGCGAUGUUGUGUAUUAGGCUGUACAUCCUAUUAACGUAAAGAGAGUGAUAAUAUAUAUCCUUUCAUCUAUUCCCGAGUGACUCAAAGGGAUAUUGGACCUUAUUUUCAGAUUACAGACAACACGAGAGGGUGCUCCAAACUUUUUAAUCAGGACUGCAUUGUUUGUUCGCUCCCGGGGUUACAUAGACUGAAACGGGGAAGCGUGACGAGUUUGUUUACAUGGUGCUGUAAACUCCAACUACAGGAGGACACUUCAGAGGAAUCAAGGUGUCUGUGAUGUUGAAACACUAAAGGAAGAAGAGGAGGACCACCAUUCGUUUCCUGAUCAGAACACAAGAGAAGAAU